AACGAACGCUGGCGGCAGGCUUAACACAUGCAAGUCGAACGGUUGCAGCAAUGCAGCAGUGGCAGACGGGUGAGUAACACGUGGGAACCUUCCUAGGGGUACGGAACAACUCAGGGAAACUUGAGCUAAUACCGUAUACGUCCGUGAGGAGAAAGAUUUAUCGCCCUUAGACGGGCCCGCGUCGGAUUAGCUAGUUGGUGGGGUAACGGCCUACCAAGGCGACGAUCCGUAGCUGAUCUUAGAGGAUGAUCAGCCACACUGGGACUGAGACACGGCCCAGACUCCUACGGGAGGCAGCAGUGGGGAAUCUUGGACAAUGGGCGCAAGCUUGAUCCAGCCAUGCCGCGUGAGUGAAGAAGGUCUUCGGAUUGUAAAGCUCUUUUGCCAGGGACGAUAAUGACGGUGCCUGGAGAAUAAGCCCCGGCAAACUUCGUGCCAGCAGCCGCCGUAA
rnacentral:rRNA from 1 species